rnacentral:misc_RNA from 1 species
UUUUUACAUUAUUUUAACAGAGGCUUACUGAAGUUUCGGGGUUUAAUCCAGAACAACUGUCCGCACUCGUUUAAGAAUUCAGUAUCAUUUACCAAGAAAUUAAUCUUGUGGUUUUGUUUUGUUUUAAAAAUGGGCAUCCGAAGACACCAUAAAUUUGAAUGUAGUUCCGCGGGACUCAAAAGUCAGACACUCAUAACUUGGUUACCCAAGCCACAAGCAUCCUCCUUCUGUUUUCCUUUCCUCUUCAAACGCAAGCGUUCUCCGAGAAUCAGAAAAUAGCAACUGUGGUAAUGAUCCUUCCGCAGGUUCACCUACGGAAA